rnacentral:rRNA from 1 species
CCUACGGGUGGCUGCAGUGGGGAAUAUUGCACAAUGGGCGCAAGCCUGAUGCAGCCAUGCCGCGUGUGUGAAGAAGGCCUUCGGGUUGUAAAGCACUUUCAGCGGGGAGGAAGGCGGUGAGGUUAAUAACCUCAUCGAUUGACGUUACCCGCCGAAGAAGCACCGGCUAACUCCGUGCCAGCAGCCGCGGUAAUACGGAGGGUGCAAGCGUUAAUCGGAAUUACUGGGCGUAAAGCGCACGCAGGCGGUCUGUCAAGUCGGAUGUGAAAUCCCCGGGCUCAACCUGGGAACUGCAUUCGAAACUGGCAGGCUAGAGUCUUGUAGAGGGGGGUAGAAUUCCAGGUGUAGCGGUGAAAUGCGUAGAGAUCUGGAGGAAUACCGGUGGCGAAGGCGGCCCCCUGGACAAAGACUGACGCUCAGGUGCGAAAGCGUGGGGAGCAAACAGGAUUAGAUACCCUAGUAGUC